AUACUUACCUGGUGCUGGGGCCUCGUUGAUCAGCGAGGACGUGCCCUCACGACGAGGAACGGGCCUUGCACUGCGCUCGCAUUGACCCCUGCCUCUACUCCAAUAUGGGGCUGAUGGGGUAUGCCAAUUGC
rnacentral:snRNA from 1 species